UAUUGGACAAUGGGCGCAAGCCUGAUCCAGCCAUGCCGCGUGGAUGAUGAAGGCCCUAGGGUUGUAAAGUCCUUUCGGCGGGGAAGAUAAUGACGGUACCCGCAGAAGAAGCCCCGGCUAACUUCGUGCCAGCAGCCGCGGUAAUACGAAGGGGGCUAGCGUUGCUCGGAAUCACUUGGCGUAAAGCGCACGUAGGCGGACUCUUAAGUCGGUGGUGAAAUCCUGGAGCUCAACUCCAGAACUGCCUUCGAUACUGAGAGUCUCAGUCCGGAGAGGUGAGUGAACUGCGAGUGAGAGGUAAAUUCGAGUUUCGCAAGACACCAGUGGCAAGCGGCUACUGGCCCGUCUGCGUGCGUGAAAUCG
rnacentral:rRNA from 1 species